GGCAGGUUCACUCCACCUCAAGCAUGUCGUUCCCAUACUGGGAAAUAUUCUGAGUCAUGUGCCAGGAGUGACAGACUCCAGAGGCAAACCUGAGCUCCUGAAGGCUGGGAUUUUAAAUGUGUGCCACCAUCCUGGCUCCAGCGACCAUCACCACAUCAAGGAAGAAGGGUGACAGGUAAAGAAUGAAAUGACCAGACAAAGAGAGACACAGACGACCAUAAACAGAGCUCCUGGAUCCAGCCUUGCUGAAAGUCAUUGCAACUGGACUUCCCAACCCAGGAGUCCAUAAACUCCCUCUCGGGCUGAAAACCAGCAGAACUGGGUUCUGUCGACAAGAGUUAUAACUAAGAGUCUUGAUCGGGCAUAAGGAAGUUCCACACAAACGAAAGAGACUCGGCAAGUUCAAAACUUUUCUUCGGAGGGUAAAAGUACUUGCCACCAAGCCUGGAACCCACGUGGAAGAAAGAAGAAAACCGACUCCUUCCUAUAAGUGGUCCUUGGACCCCCACACAUCUGCCAUGGCACACAAGCUCUCUCUCA